rnacentral:lncRNA from 10 species
CAAUUCUCCUGCCUUAGCCUCUCGAGUAGCUGGGAUUACAGACGUGCGCUACCACGGCUGGCUAAUUUUGUUUUGUAUUUUUAGUAGAGACGGGGUUUUAUAAUGUUGGCCAGGUUGGUCUCAAGCUCCUGACCUCAAGCGAUCCACCUGCCUAGCCUCCCAAAGUGCCGGGAUUACAGGAGUGAGCCACUGCGCCUGGCCAGGUUUUAUUUUUAAUUUUUAAUUUUUGGAAGCACAGAGCAUACAGAUUCACUUACACAAGCAACAUUUUUUCCUGGAAGUUAAGAAAAGGAGACAACAAACGUAGUUUAGGAAGUGCUGGAUUUGGAGGGAAUUGUUCCUGCCUGGAGGUGAGGGAACCAUCAAUGGCCUUGUCUGAGAUGCACGCCUUGGUGCACAACAAACUCCUCUGCCAUCGCUUAGUCCUUCAAAGCUGACAGUGCUUUUAGAGUCAUGCAGACACCUGAUGGAAGAGUCUUCCAGGCAGAAGGAAGGACAAAUACCCUUGAUAUACAUGUACUUGGCCGGCAUGAGGAAGAGCAAUGUGGAAGGAUACAGAUAGUUGGGAACAUAUAGUGCCUGUGAAUGACCAGUAUGCUCACUCCAAUAACAUCAGGCAAGCAAUUCCACAUAAUACUGAAGAAGGCUGUUGAAGUGACUGAAUCUGGCCAAAUAUUCUGAGCGUUUCGGAGGGAUUUUUAACAUUCUAAAUGCUAUCUGGAACAUCGAUGCAGCAUGGGAAGAAGUCACACAGCCAUGCAUGAACAGCAUUUGGAAGAAAGUUUUGAAGACAUAUGUGAACACAUUCAAAAUGUUAACAGAGAUUCUGCCGUAUUCAUAAGCUUGUUGGCAUCGAGGCUGAAGAGCUUUCCAAUGAGAAGCUGGAAAAAGAAAGAAGUAAAGAAGUUGGGGCAAAGAUAGAAGAAAUUGUUCCUGAGGCACCAAGAAAGUUCAUAGCAAAUAAACUGGCAGCGGUGUUUUCUACUAUCAGCAGUGGUGUGUGAAUGUUAGGACAAAUGGGUGACAAUUACAAUUGCUAUCACACACAUAUUGUUCCAUAGUCUCUCCUGUUCUUUGCCAGCCUUAUUACCUUUUCUUUUUUCCCUAUUAAUCCAAGAGCUCUAUGGGAGUAAAAAGGAUGCUCUUCCUUGCAAUGAAGAAAUAUGUAAUGAAAAGAAAAAACAUAUUGUCAAAACUUGGUAUCUACCUGAAGAACACUUUGCCUUCUAAACCAUAAACAAGUGUCAGUGUCCCAGUGCCUUCUGCCAGCUAUUCUCAAGACUCAUCAGAAGAGAGUGAAAUUGAUGACUCUGUAGCUGUAGCAUCCCCAUUAUCAGCACUUAAUUUUAGCUUAAUGCUUUGAACAUUCUUCAGGCUCAGUGUGCUUUCAUCUGUACACAUUAAUGGUUUCACUGAGGACAGAGGAAGGUUAAGGUAUAACCCUGGGGCCUAGAUGAAGCAGCUUACUGUAAGUGUGGAAUUUCUUUUUUUU